ACUGAUUUGGGUAGUUGAGAUUAUAAGGCUGCUAUAGUAUUUUAUUCUCAGAGGCUUCAGGCAAGAAUUCCUCGAGAACAGGAAAGCCUAGAUUUAGAGUUGUUAGUCCCUGGCUUCAUUCCAUCAAAUACCUGAUUUCUGACUUUCAGUUUCAUUUCCUUAGUAAGGAAGAGGACAGGCUGUCAUUUGAUGACCUUUGCAACUCAGUUGUAUAUUGUUAUGUUUUUUCCUAAACAUACAAGUAAAAUAUUUUUAGAGACAUUUUGAAAAGUGCAGAAAAACAAAAUAGCAUCAUGAUUCUGUUUACUAAAGACCCUCAGCUAAUAUUUUGGUGGGCUUCCUUCUGAUGUUUUUCCUAUGAACAUUUUAAAAUCUUGAAAUCAUAAAAUGCAUACAUUGGGUUUUUUUCCUACUUACUGUUGUAUCUAGGGCUUUCCCCAACAUCAUUAAGUAUCCUUUGAUAAUCUAAUUUUCAACCUUUGUAAAAUACUUAUGAUUGUAUCACGAUC
rnacentral:lncRNA from 1 species